rnacentral:rRNA from 1 species
AAUGGACGAAAGUCUGACCGAGCAACGCCGCGUGAGUGAAGAAGGUUUUCGGAUCGUAAAGCUCUGUUGUAAGUCAAGAACGUGUGUGAGAGUGGAAAGUUCACACAGUGACGGUAGCUUACCAGAAAGGGACGGCUAACUACGUGCCAGCGGCCGCGGUAAUACGUAGGUCCCGAGCGUUGUCCGGAUUUAUUGGGCGUAAAGGGAGCGCAGGCGGUCAGGAAAGUCUGGAGUAAAAGGCUAUGGCUCAACCAUAGUGUGCUCUGGAAACUGUCUGACUUGAGUGCAGAAGGGGAGAGUGGAAUUCCAUGUCUAGCGGUGAAAUGCGUAGAUAUAUGGAGGAACACCAGUGGCGAAAGCGGCUCUCUGGUCUGUCACUGACGCUGAGGCUCGAAAGCGUGGGUAGCGAACAGGAUUAGAUACCCUGGUAGUCCACGCCGUAAACGAUGAGUGCUAGGUGUUAGGCCCUUUCCGGGGCUUAGUGCCGGAGCUAACGCAAUAAGCACUCCGCCUGGGGAGUACGACCGCAAGGUUGAAACUCAAAGGAAUUGACGGGGGCCCGCACAAGCGGUGGAGCAUGUGGUUUAAUUCGAAGCAACGCGAAGAACCUUACCAGGUCUUGA